CUUAUUUGUCCUAAUUUGGUUUAGAUGUUGGCUGACAACACUGCUGCUUUCCAGAAUAAAAUGUAAAUGCUGAAUUGGAGUUACAUUUAUGCCAUAAAUCUUUGACUGAGCAAGACAUCUAAAAAGCUGCUGUGAUUCAUACAGGCAUGUCGCAGACAUGGGCAAACCAUGUUGUGCCUCGUUAGUAUAGCAGAACCUGGAGAUCUUCAGACAGCAUCUCUGCAGUGGUAUGCAUGCUUCGGAGGAAGAUGUUCUCACCAUUGGUGAUGCAGAGAAAAGGACAGGGCGCUUUGCAAGGAUGUGCACAGCUUUUGUAGCUGGAAGCUAUUUUGUAUUGAUAGUGUUAUCCUAGAUUUCAGUCCAGAAACUCAAUUAGGUAGUAAAUAACUUACCGCAGAAAGUGCUAAAGCCAGUAAUCCAAUACCAGCCUUUGCUCUGUGUUACUGCCUUGAUCUGACUUGGUGGUAAAUGACAAAAGCAAUAAAGAAGGUGCUCAUCAAUUCUUCAUGGUGUGGAGUGGCUGUGACUGGUGCUCUGCA